rnacentral:rRNA from 1 species
CCAACAACGGGUACGGGUUGUGAGAGCAAGAGCCCGGAGAUGGAUUCUGAGACAUGAAUCCAGGCCCUACGGGGCGCAGCAGGCGCGAAAACUUUACAAUGCGGGAAACCGUGAUAAGGGGACACCGAGUGCCAGCGUCAUACGCUGGCUGUCCAGGUGUGUAAAAUACACCUGUUAGCAAGGGCCGGGCAAGACCGGUGCCAGCCGCCGCGGUAACACCGGCGGCCCGAGUGGUGAUCGUGAUUAUUGGGUCUAAAGGGUCCGUAGCCGGUUUGGUCAGUCCUCCGGGAAAUCUGAUAGCUCAACUAUUAGGCUUUCGGGGGAUACUGCCAGGCUUGGAACCGGGAGAGGUAAGAGGUACUACAGGGGUAGGAGUGAAAUCUUGUAAUCCCUGUGGGACCACCUGUGGCGAAGGCGUCUUACCAGAACGGGUUCGACGGUGAGGGACGAAAGCUGGGGGCACGAACCGGAUUAGAUACCCGGGUAGUCCCAGCCGUAAACGAUGCUCGCUAGGUGUCAGGCAUGGCGCGACCGUGUCUGGUGCCGCAGGGAAGCCGUG